rnacentral:rRNA from 1 species
CGCAAGCCCUAGCCUAGCCAUGCCGCGUGAGUGAAGAAGGUUGACCGGUUGUAAAGCUCUUUCAGUUGGGAAGAAACGAUUGCAACUAAUAAUUGUAAUUAAUGACGGUACCGACAGAAGAAGCUCAGGACUUCUAACUACGUUUCAGCAGCCGCGGUAAUACGUACCGGCGAGCGUUAAUCGGAAUUACUGGUAGGUAAAGGCUGCGCAGGCGGUUUUGUAAGUCAGAUGUGAAAUGCCCGGGCUUAACCUGGGAAUGGCGUUUGAAACUGCGUGGCUAGAGUGUAGCAGAGGCGGGUGGAAUUCCACGUGUAGCAGUGAAAUGCGUAGAGGGUUAACGUGAGGAAACUCUCUGAUGGCGAAGGCAGCCCCCUGGUACGGAACACUGACGCUCAGGCACGAAAGCGUGGGGAGCAAACAGGAUUAGAUACCCAGAUAGUCCACGCCCUAAACGAUGUCAUAGAGUUUGAGGGUCUUAACGGGCUUGGUCCCCGCAGCUAACGCGUGA